GGCAUUCUAGGCCAAGGGGUCACAGUCCACCCUGAACUGUGCCUCCCAGCCUGAAGCCAGAAAGCUCAGGGAGGCUAGCGGCCCUGCCCAGGCCUCAGCACUGACCCUGCACCCCCAGGCCCAGCUGGAUGACCCCUAAGAGCUUCCUGGAAUUUGGAUGCAGGGUUAUUCUGUGUGUGCUGCCUCUCAGAGCAUGUCACUUUGACGUGGACAUCUCGGGUCUGGUUCUGGUGCUGUCCCUGUCUCGCCACGUGACCCUGGAUAAGUCAUCUCUCCAGGCCUUGAUUUCCCCAUCUGUAAACAGAGGAACCCAAGGAACGAGUGGGCUCUAACUGCUGCAGCAUAUGGGAGAUGCCAGGAGGAGCUGGCUGUGGCAGGCCAUCCCAGGCCAUCAGACAACUUGUAGUGGAUGAAGAUGCAGUGUCCAUGGCCAGAAGAAACUCCCAUGGAUGCUCAGGCCAAGGCUGCCAGAAGCACGAGGAGGGGCAGCAUUGAGUGUCAUCGGGAAGAGGCAAGGUGAUGGUCCUGAAGCUGCCCCAUGUGGCCAGUCCCUUUUUGGGAAGCCUGAAUAAAUCCAUUUCCUGUGCACUGUGUGGGAAGCCCGCCCCCCCCAACACCCCACACAUAUCAUCUAUCUGUGAUUUUGAGAUGACUUUUUUUUCACAUUUCAGCACCUCUGAACUCAACAGGAUCCUACACUUCUUGUAGGCCUGGCUUGAUGCUGACAUCCUUCAGCCCCAGGGAAGACCUAAAGAUCUCCAGGUCUUGAGGCACCUGGAACACCUCCACCUGAGACCACUUUAACAUGAUUUCUCUGCUUGAGGGAUUUUGGCCCAUGCUGUGUGUAUUCAGCCCUAAAACAUGGGUGAGUGCCCGCUUGCAGUUCAAAUUCUCAGAGGAAGUUCCCUGUACUCCACUCAGUGCCAAGUUUAGUUUGUGCAAAUUUCCUUAAUGUCCCCUCCUGUACAACAGGCUUAUUUGGUGUUAACCCUCAUAUUGGGGGUCUAACUCUUCGGUUUUCCAGCUUUUUUGCUGGAAUAUCCCAUUAAACUGUCCAUGUUGGGUAUUUUUUCUUUGUUAGUAAACAUUUGUUGCAUAUUGUUGAUAGCAUUUUAGAUUUGAAGAAAUAACUGACAAAAUCAAUAUCAUCUGUUUCAUCAUUA
rnacentral:antisense_RNA from 1 species